AUUGAACGCUGGCGGCAGGCUUAACACAUGCAAGUCGAGCGGGGUGAUGGUGCUUGCACUAUCACUUAGCGGCGGACGGGUGAGUAAUGCUUAGGAAUCUGCCUAUUAGUGGGGGACAACAUCUCGAAAGGGAUGCUAAUACCGCAUACGUCCUACGGGAGAAAGCAGGGGAUCGCUUGUGACCUUGCGCUAAUAGAUGAGCCUAAGUCGGAUUAGCUAGUUGGUGGGGUAAAGGCCUACCAAGGCGACGAUCUGUAGCGGGUCUGAGAGGAUGAUCCGCCACACUGGGACUGAGCCACGGCCCAGACUCCUACGGGAGGCAGCAGUGGGGAAUAUUGGACAAUGGGGGGAACCCUGAUCCAGCCAUGCCGCGUGUGUGAAGAAGGCCUUAUGGUUGUAAAGCACUUUAAGGGAGGAGGAGGCUCUUUUGGUUAAUACCCAAGAUGAGUGGACGUUACUCGCAGAAUAAGCACCGGCUAACUCUGUGCCAGCAGCCGCCGUAA
rnacentral:rRNA from 1 species